rnacentral:rRNA from 1 species
GACGAACGCUGGCGGCGUGCUUAACACAUGCAAGUCGAACGGUAAGGCCCUUCGGGGUACACAAGUGGCGAACGGGUGAGUAACACGUGGGUGAUCUGCCCUGCACUUCGGGAUAAGCCUGGGAAACUGGGUCUAAUACCGGAUAGGACCACUGCCUGCAUGGGUGGUGGUGGAAAGCUUUUGUGGUGUGGGAUGGGCCCGCGGCCUAUCAGCUUGUUGGUGGGGUGAUGGCCUACCAAGGCGACGACGGGUAGCCGGCCUGAGAGGGUGACCGGCCACACUGGGACUGAGAUACGGCCCAGACUCCUACGGGAGGCAGCAGUGGGGAAUAUUGCACAAUGGGCGCAAGCCUGAUGCAGCGACGCCGCGUGAGGGAUGACGGCCUUCGGGUUGUAAACCUCUUUCAGCACCGACGAAGCGCAAGUGACGGUAGGUGCAGAAGAAGGACCGGCCAACUACGUGCCAGCCGCCGCGGUAA